GCUGACGAUUGCAGUAUUAUAUUGGGACCGAAUGGUGGUCUAGUUGGUAUCGAGACUCUGGAAGAAUGGGAAUUUCUUAAAGUGUUGCUCGAAAAUUAUGGAUUUGCCUCAACAUUCUGGACGAGUGGUAAAUUCGAUAUUUUCCGAAACGAAUGGAUUUGGUCCAUAAAUAAUCAACCGAUUCCGUCCAAUCCUCCGUGGGGCGCAGGACAACCUAUUCCGUUGCCGAACCUUUCGCAACGUAUACAAAUCUUUCACUUAAGUCGAUAUGAUGCUUAUUGGCGUAGCGUAGCAGACACUCAACUGCAUCGGUACAUUUGUGAGCUACGCAAAAUAGAUUACGUUUGAACUGUGAACGAUUGUUGGAAUCGAAGAAACGCUGAGUGUCAACGAGUGGA